rnacentral:rRNA from 1 species
UACGUAGGGUGCGAGCGUUGUCCGGAAUUACUGGGCGUAAAGAGCUCGUAGGUGGUUUGUCGCGUUGUUCGUGAAAUCUCACGGCUUAACUCUGGGCGUGCGGUCGAUACGGGCAUCACCAGAGUUCGGCAGGGGAGACUGGAAUUCCUGGUGUAGCGGUGAAAUGCGCAGAUAUCAGGAGGAACACCGGUGGCGAAGGCGGGUCUCUGGGCCGAUACUGACGCUGAGGAGCGAAAGCAUGGGUAGCGAACAGG